UGGCACCAGACGUAGAAUCGACCGCGUAGAAGGUUCCAGCAGCUCAGGAAGCUUAAACAGUCAAGCCACCUUAAGGAAAUGGCGUGUAAUCUCUCUCUCAGUUCUCUUUCUCACUGGAAGUGAUAUCGACUUAUACUGAGCAUUCCCGAUAAGCUUGAUUUCGUUCAGAUCAUUCGCGGAAAAUGGUAUCACGAGCGGUUCAAAACUCCAAAAUUCUUAUCCUUGUCCCAGCUAUUUUGUUUUUCCUUUGCUACUUUUUAGGUUGGUCUGGCUCUGUUGUGCGGAGGAACCAAAGGUCUUCUGAUCUCAUUGCACAACUUCUGGCAUUGCUCAAGGAUUGUAAUGAAGCUGAGUUUUUACCCGGUCGAUGUGACACUGCAGCCAUUGCCGCUCUGAUUCGACAACUAGCUCAAGAUAUUAGGG